AUAGAUAUAGAUAUAGAUAGAUAUAUUGACUACAUAUGUAACAGAGUAUAUAUAUAUAUAUAUAAUUAUAAAACAUAGAUAUAUAUUGCAGAGUCGUAGUUUGAAUAUGUAUAUUAUAUUUUUUAUGAGCGUCGUUGCCUAAAAGCCCAAUCCAUUGCCUUAGAUUUACCGUAAUAAAGAGAAAAGCACGGACAGAGCACGGAAACAGCGUUGGGAGAAACGAAUGGUGCCUUUUUUUUUCGUUGGUCUGUGUCGUCACUUCAGGAAUUCGCUAGCGAUCGAGGAAUACUUUUGUCAUCACUGACUUUCAGUUCGAAUCCAGCACUAUCGGAUAUACACACGCUUUCAUCCGAGCACGUGGAUGGGAUUAUCCUGACGACCGCCCCCCCAACCCCCCAAAAAAGUGAUUGUUUCGUCGUUUUUAUUUUCUUAAACUAUAAAACCAACAAACUUGAUUGAUGUAAUUCUUCGAAGGAGCUCCACACAAAAGCCUUUCCGAUGGUGAUCACUUCAUCCGUGGAGGAGAAGCCGCAGCCUUCUAACAGAAUGGUCGCCAACCUGUCGACCGACACCUGGGUCGGCAACUCGGAUCAGAGUCGCUACGUACCGCAGUCUCACCUGCUCCGGAAGCCGUCCAAAAGUUCAGGAUGUAUGCCCCCCUCCUCGUCCCUGUGUUUCUCCCCCGCUGAGCGAAACAUGUCGAGCCAGCACACUCAUCCUGGAUUAAGCAACAUCCAGUCCAUGGCAGAACAGCAGCAGGUGCUGUCUGAUAUGACCAUUCUGCAGAGGAGGAUCCCCCCGAGUUUCAGAGACCCCGCGAGUGCGCCGCUCAGAAAACUCUCCGUCGAUCUCAUCAAGACUUACAAGCACAUCAAUGAGGUGUACUACACUAAAAAGAAGCGACGUGCGCAGCAGGUUCCGCCCGAGGACUCGAGCACCAAGAAAGAGCGGAAAGUUUACAACGACGGCUACGACGACGACAACUACGACUACAUCGUGAAGAACGGGGAGAAGUGGCUCGACCGCUACGAAAUCGACUCGCUCAUCGGCAAGGGCUCCUUCGGACAGGUGGUGAAGGCGUACGAUCACCACGAGCAGGAGUGGGUGGCCAUCAAGAUCAUCAAGAAUAAGAAAGCCUUCCUGAACCAGGCGCAGAUCGAACUCCGGCUCCUCGAGCUCAUGAACAAACACGACACCGAGAUGAAGUACUAUAUAGUCCACCUGAAGCGCCACUUCAUGUUCCGUAAUCACCUGUGUUUGGUGUUUGAGCUGCUCUCCUAUAACCUGUACGAUCUGCUGCGUAACACUAAUUUCCGGGGCGUGUCGCUCAACCUGACGCGGAAGUUCGCUCAGCAGCUGUGCACGGCGCUGCUCUUCCUGGCCACGCCCGAGCUCAGCAUCAUCCACUGCGACCUGAAGCCCGAGAACAUCCUGCUGUGUAACCCCAAACGCAGCGCCAUCAAGAUCGUCGACUUCGGCAGCUCCUGUCAGCUCGGGCAGAGGAUCUAUCAGUACAUACAGAGUCGGUUCUACCGUUCUCCCGAGGUGUUGUUAGGAAUGCCGUAUGAUCUGGCCAUCGACAUGUGGAGUCUCGGCUGCAUCCUGGUGGAGAUGCACACGGGGGAGCCACUGUUCAGCGGCUCUAAUGAGGUGGAUCAGAUGAAUAAGAUUGUGGAGGUGCUGGGCGUUCCUCCGAACCACAUGCUGGAUCAGGCACCUAAAGCACGCAAAUACUUCGAUAAGCUCUCAGACGGCCUGUGGACCGUGAAGAAGAACAAGGACAUAAAGAAGGUACUUUAUCCUUCAGCCUCCGAGUAUAAACCUCCCGCAACCCGGCGUCUCCAUGAGAUUUUAGGGGUGGAGACCGGGGGUCCCGGGGGAAGGCGGGCUGGGGAGCAAGGCCACGCCCCUUGCGAUUACCUGAAGUUUAAGGACCUGAUCCUGCGCAUGCUGGACUACGACCCCAAAACGCGCAUCACGCCGUUCUACGCCCUGCAGCACAACUUCUUCAAAAAGACCACAGACGAGGGAACAAACACCAGCAGCUCCACCUCCACCAGCCCGGCCAUGGACCACAGCCACUCCACCUCCACCACCAGCUCCGUGUCCAGCUCUGGUGGAUCCAGCGGUUCUUCCAAUGACAACCGAAACUAUCGGUACAGCAACCGAUACUACAACAGCGCCGUCACACACACGGACUACGAGAUGCAGAGCCCGCAGGCUCCGUCUCAGCAGCAGUUGCGUAUCUGGCCGGGCAGUGACAGCAGCGACUCGUCGUACCCACAGCUCCUGCUGCACAAACCCGCCGCCACGCAGCAGCGCCACUUCCUGGGCGGAGCUGCCAUGAUGGAGACGCUGCACCCGCACCCCGUCUACGGCCGCCAGCUUCGCCAGCAGGGUCCGGCCCAGGGUCAAGGGUCGCAAGUUCAAGGCUCGCAAGGCCAAGGCUCGCAAGGUCAGGCGAUGAUGUCAUCGCCGCCACCGUCGUCGCAAGUGCAGGACAGCAUCGAGCUGAGUCUCGGCGGCCAUCAUCAGCAUCACCACCAUCACCAAUUGGCUCAGUCUUCCUUGGCUCCGCCCCUUUCUCUUCCUCCGUCGAGCCUGGACUCCAGCCAGUACGGCUCCUCCAACCUCCACCUGGGAAUCUCCGCCUUUCGGACUAGAACGGCCUCUCAGACGCAGCAGAUCGCACAAGCCCCGCCCACUCAGGACAGCAUGGGCUACGUCCCGCCCUGUUACCCCGGAAACAACAAUAACAACCCACCACAGGGAGGCGGGGUAAUCACCGGAGCACCGCCCAGAGGCGGGGUUAGACCCGAUUCGUCGGAGGAUUCCAUCAUGAUGGGAGGCGGGGGGGGCGGAGGCGGGCAGAGCGCGGCCAACUCUUGAUAAAUCUUGAACAAAUUACGCAAAGCCAUACACGAAAAAAUUGAAAAAACAAAAAAAUUUUAACGUAAAUGAUUUAAAAAACAAAAAACAAAAAUACACAGACAUGUAGUACACACACACACACACACACACACUUUCAAAAACACCACACGGAGAAAAAACUUGUGAAAAUUUUCAUUUUUGUUUGUUUUUGUUUUGCAUGGGGAGGAGAAGAGCGAGAAGGAAAUAACAUUGUUCAAUUCUUUUGUUUUGUUUUGUUUUUGAAUGAAGUGAGCGGAGGGUUACGUUACGCCGUCAGAGAGCUUCAGAAGGCUGCUUCUCGUGACUGGGAUUCAAACCUGCGACCUUGAAGGCAACAGGACCUCCAAAACUACCUUAACUCUCUCUCACAUCAGUAACGAUGACUGCUGUCCUUUCUGUUGCGGUUGAAACUUGUAAUCGGCCGACACGGCUGCUUUACUUUGUAUUUUCUCAACGCCAUCCUUCAUGAGAAACAUCAUGUCUGAAGUAUUAUCACAUCAUCGGUUUUUUGGUUUCUCUAUUAAAGAGAAAGUUGCCUCUAAUCUCACGUGGAGAAGUUCAUCACACUGGCUCUGUAUGGGGUAUUAAAGUGUUAAAGCCGCUGAAACGCGCACGAUGUUUCCCCGCGCGCGGCCUCCAGGUUAGCAUGGUGCGCUAAACGUGCCCAAGUGUGCAAAUCCUCCCACGGUCGGGGUUCAUGGAGUUGUUCAGGCUGAGCUCCAUCCACAAUCACUUUCCUCCAACAUCAGAAUCAGGGGACGGGGGCGUGGCCUACCUAAAGUCUGGAGGCAGAGCUUGUACAUCCAUCAGAGGUUUUAUUGGAUGAUAAAGAGUAAAGCCAUGUGUGAGGAUUCAGACAUGUAGUUAUGUUUAGUGCACUGUGCUAAUCUGGUGGCUGGACGUUUCUGCCACUUGUUAGCUACGUUAACGGUGUAGCUCAUGGUGGACAUCGUGGACAUUUCAGUCUCGGACACACUGCGGCUUUCGGAACACGACCGCAAGUUCGUAAGAAUUCACACAGACGAACUGUAUGAAAAGUUACGAGGGGUUCAGUUUUGGCAGUGGGCGGGGCUUAGCUGUCAUAGCUUCCAGUUGUUAGUUAUAUCUGAUAUCAUGACGCUCCUGCUUUCAGUUCAGGAUCCUAUGUAGGGUGCCUAAGUAGGGAGUCUCAUUUAUUUAGCACAAGGAUGGAGUGUUUUUCUUAAUCCCUAUUCAAACGGGAUUAGUUUUCCAGACGCGUGUACGUUCGGUAUGUCGCAAGACGACGUCUGUAGAAGUCUGAUUGAUCGACAUACGAUGAGUGAUGAAUCUGGAUAAAUCACGGAGGUGGGCGGGUCUUCACCGCCUCAUUUUAAUACACACACAUUGUCUUGCUUGUUAAUUAUAAGCCCUUGUUGUUGGGGGCGUGGCCACGCGUGAUCAUUAAUAGGUCACGUCUGUAGGAACUCAGUAACUCCAGGAAUUUCAUUACACACAUCCGUGUGGAAACCUAAUCCGGUCUGAACAGGGUUUAUUCCGAACAAAUAUGAAGAAGAAGGAGCACGAGUUUGAGACGCGAGGUGGACAAUACCGUGUUUAGAAAGACUUUCGAAUGGAACAGACUUUUCCUCCCUACUUAGGCAACGUCCCAACGAAUAAAAUCACUCCUUAAAUACGAUUUUAUAAUAACGAUGGCACACGUGUGUGUGUGUGUGUGUUAGAAUUCUUACGAAUUUGCCACGUGUGAAACAUGACGUUUAUGAGAAUGUCAGCAUGAUGAUGUCGGUCAGAUGUUCCAGGUCUAAUGGGAAACGAAGGAACCUCAGAAACCUCAGAAGAUGGACGUCUUGGUCUUCAUCAUCGCCGCUUCAUCGCUGCUUCUGUUUAAACCCAAACACACCGAGGAGAUGUUUCUGACUCUCAUGGUGUUUCAGAGUUUAUUACCUGUCCGGGAAACUGACACUCCUGAGCUAGCAAACAGCAAACGUGUGACACGUGAACACCACGCUGGAAAGGAUCACAUCUUACACUGCAAAACACAAUGCAUAAACUGUAGAAAAGUAUUGGCACCCGCUCAAAUCUGUCCAAUAGUGUGAACAGACCACCGCAGAUACGUUUGGGGGUUUAAACACCUCAGCGUCGCUGCUCAGCUGAGGUAUUUAGCAAGAAAAGAUAUCUUGAAUAAAGGCUAAUUUAAUGAACGUUUCUUUAAUCGUUAUCAGAUUGUUUUUAAGCACGAUGUAAAACCUAUUUCUAGAUAUUUAAAAAAUAAUAAUUUACAUGAAUUCAAGUUUGUUUAUAGAAAGAAACACAAUGAUCGGCCGGUAAAACAAGACCGUUGUAAGCUUGAAACGAGUAAAUAUGUCUAGAAACAGGCUUAAUAAUAAUCUCAUAUUUGUUUAAAAAGAAAGAUUUAAGAGCUUCGUCAUAAACAAGCGCUCGCUGCACGUUCUAAUGGAGUAGAAAAUCAAAUACAAACAAUACGUUAAAAAUCAUGUUAAAAAUACAUUUAAAACAAAUAUGUCAGAUGAACACACUGUACUGGGAAAAAGAUGAGCUUCAGUCAAUAACUGAACAGAUAGAAGGUGUGUAGUAAAGUCAUAUCUGUUCAGCGGUGUGUGUGCUGUUCCCUUUCCAAUGGUGGAUGUCCAGGAUGUCCGGUGUGGCUGCGGGUUUUCUUUCCAAACGAUCAGAAACUGCACUUGAUGACCCACAGGUUCUCAUCCCUGGUCUUGUAGAACCUCCUGUCCUGUACAUUUUAGUGUUUUCAGAUCAAUUAGCUGAAUCUGGUGUGUUGAAGCAGACACGCCCAAUGUGCAGGACAGGAGGUCCUCCAGGACCAGGGCUGGGAACAUGAGGACCAACUUGAAGUGUGGCUUCUGAUUGGUUAGACUGAAACCCUUCGACGAUACAGAACUAAGGAUGGAAUAGAGGGGUGCCAAUACUUUACAGCACGAUGGAGGGACUACAGUCAGUAAUUGUCCACUUACAAAGCGGCCUUAUAUGAAAGUGGAGCUGUGUAAAGCAGCUUCCGAGACGUAGAGAACGUCUGUGUGAUGUUAGAUAGGUAACGAGAAGCAAGUGUGAAACGCUGAUCAGCGUCAACAGCUCUGAAGAAAACACUUCUGCUCCAGUCUUUUACCAGAUCAUCAUCAUCGGGUCUGAAAGUGGGGUUUGUGAUUCUUUCUUUUCUUUUUUUAAGUAAGAAAACUGCUACAGUGGUAGAACAACCAAUCACAACCAACCAUUAAU